UACGGGGGGGGCAAGCGUUGUUCGGAAUUACUGGGCGUAAAGGGCUCGUAGGUGGCCAACUAAGUCAGACGCGAAAUCCCCAGGCUUAACCUGGGAACUGCGUCUGAUACUGGAUGGCUUGAAUUCGGGAGAGGGAUGCAGAAUUCCAGGUGUAGCGGUGAAAUGCGUAGAUAUCAGGAGGAACACCGGUGGCGAAGGCGGGUCUCUGGGCAACAACUGACGCUGAGGAGCGAAAGCGUGGGGAGCGAACAGG
rnacentral:rRNA from 1 species